rnacentral:ncRNA from 1 species
GUGUUGUAUGAAAGGAGAGAAGGUUAGCACUCCCCUUGACAGAUAUGAU